rnacentral:lncRNA from 1 species
GUCCGGAACAUAUAUAUACAUGAUUUACCACUUCAUGUUAAACAAUCCAACAUUGCAUUUUCAUGAUAAAAACAUUGAAACUAGAGGCUUUUAAGAGCCUGUGUCGCUAACCUUGGUCUAUGUGCAUAUUCAACUAGAGGCUCUAAAGAGCCUGUGUCGCUCACCUUGGUAUAUGUGAAUAUUAAACAAAGGACGCAGAUAGAUUCAUGACAAAAUUGUGUUUUGGUGAUGGUGAUGUGUUUGUACAUCUUACUUUACUGAACAUUCUUGCUGCUUACAAUUAUCUCUAUCUAUAAUGAACUUGGCCAAGUAGUUUUAGUGGAAAAUGU